rnacentral:rRNA from 1 species
GAUGAACGCUGGCGGCGUGCCUAAUACAUGCAAGUCGAGCGAACAGACGAGGAGCUUGCUCCUCUGACGUUAGCGGCGGACGGGUGAGUAACACGUGGAUAACCUACCUAUAAGACUGGGAUAACUUCGGGAAACCGGAGCUAAUACCGGAUAAUAUAUUGAACCGCAUGGUUCAAUAGUGAAAGACGGUUUUGCUGUCACUUAUAGAUGGAUCCGCGCCGCAUUAGCUAGUUGGUAAGGUAACGGCUUACCAAGGCAACGAUGCGUAGCCGACCUGAGAGGGUGAUCGGCCACACUGGAACUGAGACACGGUCCAGACUCCUACGGGAGGCAGCAGUAGGGAAUCUUCCGCAAUGGGCGAAAGCCUGACGGAGCAACGCCGCGUGAGUGAUGAAGGUCUUCGGAUCGUAAAACUCUGUUAUUAGGGAAGAACAAAUGUGUAAGUAACUAUGCACGUCUUGUCGGUACCUAAUCAGAAAGCCACGGCUAACUACGCG